GUGCUUGCUUCGGCAGCACAUAUACUAAAAUUGGAAUGAUACAGAGAAGAUUAACUGGCCCCACAGCUAGAGGAUUAACGAAAUUGCAGUUGCUCCAUAUCUUU